AACAGAAGAAGAGGAGGAAGAGAAGAAUGAAAGGGAAAGAGAAGAUGGUGAAUGUGCGGAGGCUGUUGUCCAUGGUUUCUACACUAGGUACUGCUGUUGUACCUGCGAUUCAGUUCAAAUACGAAGGAACGAAGAUUUCACUACUCAAGCACGCAAUAAUACCUCUAAAAAGAGAGAAAUAGACAUGGGGAGUGCAAAAGAAGAUUGGACUCUCUGCAACAACCUCAUGAUUAGCCUAUAAAUACAUAGGCGCAUGACUUUGAGGUCUAUCGUGGAAGAGUACUGGAUGAUUUCUUACCACAACAAAACAUUGUUUCCAAAGAUAUAAAAUUCAAAAAUGUGGUAUUACACUUAGUAUAUUAAGGCUCUC